GCCUCCCAAAGUGCUAGGAUUACAGGCGUGAACCACCGCACCCAGCCAACACCUUUACUUUUUAUGGCCUGGAUAUAAUGGGCUAAAACAUAUAUAAUGACAAUGCUUAAAAGACUUAGAUGAAUUCUAAGUCUGGAAAAAAAAGUACUUUUUACAAAAGGAGCAAAAAUAGCAUUCAGGAGAGUUUGAGGAAUUGAGAAAGACCAAACAAACAAAAAUCACCUAUGAUCUCAUCAUCCAAGCACAAACACUUUCAUGUUUGCUGUUUGUUUCUGCUCUUUGUCCAUUUAUGUAUUUAAGUUUGGCUAUGGUUGCAACAUGUAAUUUUCUAUACUUUAAAAAAUUUGGGGCUGGGCACAGUCGCUCACGCCUGUAAUCCCAGCACCUUGGGAGGCCGAGGCGGGCGGAUCACCUGAGGUGGGGAGUUCAAGACCAGCUUGACCAACAUGGAGAAACCCCGUCUCUACUAAAAAUACAAAAUUAGCUGGGCAUGGUGGUGCAUGCCUAUAAUCCCAGCUACUCAGGAGGCUGAAGCAGGAUAAUGGCUUGAACCCAGGAGGCGGAGGUUGCAGUGAGCCGAGACAGCACCAUUGCACUCCAGCCUGGGUGACAAGAGCGAAACUCCAUCUCAAAAAAAAAAAAAAAAAUUGUCAUCUACCAUAAGCUCACACUUAUGUUGCUGACAAGUGUUCCUAAUUAUCACUUUUACUGGCUGCAUAAUAUUCUACUGAGUGGCUGUGACAAAAUUUAAUUAACUGUUCCCCUAUUAAUGUAAGAUUACCGUUGUUUCUGGUUUUUUUGCCACUUUAGUUACAAGCUUUUGUGCUGGAUAUCCUCCAUUUGACCCUCCAGAUCCACUCUCCAGCCUUGUCCUCCCUGCUUUGGGUCCUAUGAAGCUGACUUGUAUGGACUGUAUCAAUGGGCUCCAUUGCUCUCUGGCUUUUGAUUGGGUUCAGCCAAUGGGGACCCUGGCAGGAGAUCAGAGGAUGGGAGAAGAGUAUUGCUGGGGUAUUUAUUCCCCAGGCUCUCCGUCUCCAGGGUCACUGCUGGCUGGAUAAUUCUCUCAACUAAAGGUCACAGCUCUUGUUGAAUGACCCUUUCCACAUGGCUCCAUCUGCCUGUGGGUUCCAGUAACUGCUCUCUCCAGUCCCCUUUUCAUGUCUGGGUGCCUACGUGUCCCCUCACCCCCUGCAACACACACACACAUGUGCAAACACACACACACACACACACACACCUGUUCCUGCUAGCCUUUGGGUACUGCACUAUUCCUUAGAGUUCCCUACACCUGGCCCACAUCUCUACAAAGAGUCUCUUUAAUUAGUCCUCAAAUUAUACAGUUCAGUGUCCUAACUGAUAUAUCAUGCUAUUUCAGAUAAUGCAUGUCUUUUUACAUCUAAUUUCAUUAGGAUGGAUACCUGAAAAGGGAAUUAUGGAGUCAAAGAAUGUGAACACUUCAGGCUCUUGAGUCAUACUGUCAAUUUGCUUUUGAAAAGGAUCUGUUGGCAUUGGUACCAGUGCAUCCUUCCAGCACUGGAUAUUUUAAAAUAUAAUUUUGCUAAGUCAAUAGGUUAAAAAAUGGUACUUUAUGGUAAUUUAAGUUUUCAUAUCUUGGAUUACCCUCAAGUUUGCUUAUAAAACCUGGUUAUUGCUGUGUACGUUGUUAUUUUGGAGUUUGUUUAAAUGUUUCUCCCUUCCCCACUCAUUCUCUAGUUGUAUAAUCUUUCCUUAAUAAUUCAAUUUUUUAAAAGAUCAACUUUUUAAAGCCUCAAUGUCUUCAUCUAUUUACAGAUAUCCUAACAAUAACACCUCUCUCACAGAAUUAUUGUGAGAAUUAAAUGAAAAUAAGCAUGUAGCAUAUAAGAAACAUCCAAGAAACAUGAAUGCUUUCCUCCUUAAUAAUUAUGC
rnacentral:lncRNA from 1 species